GGAAGGAUCAUUAUCGAUUCUAACUGGAUGUGCUGGCAAAGAUUGAACAAGUUGGUCUUUGCAAUGUGCACUCCAAAUUACUAUUCUCACCUGUGCACCUUUAUGUAGAAUGUGGCGGAGGUAAUCUGCAGCAUUCUAUGUUUUUUAUAAACCUUUUAAAAUGAAAAAGAUAACUUGUAUAAAGGUUGGUUUAAAAGCCAACCCUUUAACUUAAUACAACUUUCAACAACGGAUCUCUUGGUUCUCGCAUCGAUGAAGAACGCAGCGAAUUGCGAUAUGUAAUGUGAAUUGCAGAAUUCAGUGAAUCAUCGAAUCUUUGAACGCACAUUGCACUCUCUGGUAUUCCGGAGAGUAUGCCUGUUUGAGUGUCAUUUAUCUCUCAACAUUGGCAAGGUUAUUUAUUUAAUCUGUCAUUGUUUGGACUAUGAAGGCAUGUUGGUGUUAACAGCAUCAACUCCUUUUAAACAUAUUAGCGGAACUUGGUUGAUUCAGCUUCGGUUUGGUAAAUAUUUAUCAUGUGCUGUCGCUGAAAAGACAAUUGUUUGGCUUCAAACUGUCUUCGGACUGUCCAUUACUUGGGCAUAACAAAAUUGACACUUGACCUCAAAUCAGGUAGGACUACCCGCUGAACUUAAGCAUAUCAAUAAGCGGAGGAAAAGAAACUAACAAGGAUUCCCUUAGUAACUGCGAGUGAAGAGGGAAAAGCUCAAAUUUAAAAUCUGGCAGCUUUACUGUUGUCCGAAUUGUAAAUUAGAGAAGUGCUAUCCGCGCUGGACUGUGCAAAAGUCUCUUGGAAAAGAGCAUCAUAGAGGGUGACAAUCCCGUCUUUGGCAUAGAACCCAGGGCUUUUGUGAUACGCUCUCGAAGAGUCGAGUUGUUUGGGAAUGCAGCUCUAAAUGGGUGGUAAAUUCCAUCUAAAGCUAAAUAUUGGCGAGAAACCGAUAGCGAACAAGUACCGUGAGGGAAAGAUGAAAAGAACUUUGAAAAGAGAGUUAAACAGUACGUGAAAUUGUUGAAAGGGAAACGCUUGAAGUCAGUCUUGUGCUUCAGAAAUCAACCUGACUUUUGUUGGAUGUACUUUCUGUUGUACAGGUCAGCAUCAAUUUUGAUCAUUGGAUAAAGGCUCGAGGAAAGUGGCAUCCUCGGAUGUGUUAUAGCCUCGAGUUCAGAUACAAUGGUUGGGAUUGAGGAACUCAGUGUGACAAUAGUUUGGAGGGGUAUACCUCUCACAUUACGCACUUAGGAUGCUGGCAUAAUGGCUUUAAUCGACCCGUCUUGAAACACGGACCAAGGAGUCUAACAUACAUGCGAGUGUUUGAGUGGAAAACUCAGGCGCACAAUGAAAGUGAAAGUUGAGAACCCUUCACAGGGUGCAUCGACGCCCGGACCUGACCUAUUGUGACGGAUCUGCGGUAGAGCAUGCAUGUUGGGACCCGAAAGAUGGUGAACUAUGCCUGAAUAGGGUGAAGCCAGAGGAAACUCUGGUGGAAGCUCGUAGCGAUUCUGACGUGCAAAUCGAUCGUCGAAUUUGGGUAUAGGGGCGAAAGACUAAUCGAACCAUCUAGUAGCUGGUUCCCGC
rnacentral:misc_RNA from 1 species